UAAGGAAUAUUGGACAAUGGGCGCAAGCCUGAUCCAGCCAUGCCGCGUGAAGGAUGAAGGCGCUAUGCGUCGUAAACUUCUUUUGUAUGGGAAAAAUUCCCCGAUUUCUAUCGGGGUUGAUGGUACCAUAAGAAUAAGGGUCGGCUAACUUCGUGCCAGCAGCCGCGGUAAUACGAAGGACCCGAGCGUUAUCCGGAUUCAUUGGGUUUAAAGGGUGCGUAGGCGGGCCUAUAAGUCAGUGGUGAAAGCCCUUCGCUUAACGAAGGAAUUGCCAUUGAUACUGUAGGUCUUGAGUAUAGUUGAGGUGGGCGGAAUGUGUCAUGUAGCGGUGAAAUGCUUAGAUAUGACACAGAACACCGAUUGCGAAGGCAGCUCGCUAAACUAUAACUGACGCUGAGGCACGAAAGCGUGGGUAGCAAACAGGAUUAGAUACCCCCGUAGUCC
rnacentral:rRNA from 1 species